UGAGAAAAAAAAAGAAAAAACAUUACAAUGAUUUAGUAAAUGCCAAAAGCAACUUAUGAAUGAACAAUUAGAUUAAUGUAAUUAAUUCCAACAUUUCCAAAACAAUUAUUUAUCUUCAUGAACACAAGUUGUUUUUCACACAUGUUUGGUUUAACAAUAGACAUUGGGAAUGUUUGUAUCCAGGCCAGGAGGCAGAUGUUGUCUUUGAGUAUGAGUUAUUAACAAGAGUUAUUCUACAUUUAUGGAGGCCAGAAUGUUUUCCCGACAUAAUCCUUCAGAAAUCAAAUCCAGUAAUUUCAAAAUGUCUUAAUGGCGUCUAUCAUAAUUUAGGCAGUACCAUCCCAACCCACGUUUGGUUGGAUAAAAUACAACAAAACAAUAAAAAUUACACAAGGGACACAGAGUAAGAAAAAGUGCUUUGGAAAGGCAACUUAACAAUGAGGAAAUUCAAAGUUAUACACUUCCUCCUACUUACAUCAAGGUUUUAUAAAUCAAUGAAUGACUUGUAAGAGUCACAAAAAAAAAAACGAAUUAGUUAAAAACAGUCUGUCUUCUGCUGACCCCAGGGACCAGAACAUGAAAAUGGGGAAAAUAAGGCAUAAAUGAAUGAAGCAUAGCCCAUGGUAGUAGGAGCUUGAAAUUCCACUUUGCCACACUAGAGGAUGGGAGCAGCUUCACCUCAGCUAUACAUUUGUGUUAAUGAUAAUCUCAUAUUUUAGCAUAUACAGAAUUCAGAUGGUAAUUCAAAUGGUAAGUUUUGUCAUUUGGAAAAGUACUAGUACGACUAAAAAUAUACAUAUACAGGAGCAGUUGUCCAGAAUUUCAUAGCUUCUUUUUCUCACAGACGACUGUUAACUGUUCUGGAGCUGAAAGGGUAAAGGUCAUGUUUCGCUAACAUUACUGUCUCAGUUUAUUUUGUCUCCAGUAAAAAAACAGUGACAAACUUUGGCAGCCUUAUUUUCAGCAUAAGGAUACAGGUAUCACUCAGGCCUAAUCCUUGAAUUAUUUCUUUGAAUACCAAAAAAUUACCUUGUGUGUUUCUUUUAUUAAUCUUGCCUAAAUUAUCCAGAUAUGCCCCCAUUUUCUGACAGUUAGAAAUCUAAUAUUAGAUGCAAAUGACUGUAUGUCAGUUAAUUUAAAAUUAUCUUAAUAUCUUUUAAACCUUUUUCUUAAAUUUCUUUUUUUUAUUAUUUAAAAAUGUAAAAGUAAUCCCACUUCCACAAAAUAUUUCCUUUAAAACAGCUUUUGGGUGUUAUGUUCUCAACAGCUGAUGUGAACAGUCCAUAUCCCAGGGCUGACGUUAAGGAAUAUUUAAAAGGGUUGAAACAGUGAGUUAAAAUAACUAACAAUCAGGAUUAAUCAACAGCUCAGUAAACACAGGAAGGCUGUAAAGGUGUGUCCCUUCAGGACCAAAAGUGGAACAGCAUUAUGGAAGUCCUCAAUCAUUGGCUUGGUCUUCCCAGUCAGGAGUUUCCAAUUAGGCAGCACUUAUUAACCUAUUAAUACCCCAAAGGUACGACUGAAUAUUGUCAUCCCUGCAAACUGUGUGGCUGCACUUGAGUGUGUGGAAAAGUAAUUUGCCCGUUAGCAAAUUUUCAUUACAUGUGGGAAUACAUUGGGAAAUAAAAAUAAAUAAAGAAUAUUUCAAUUAAAUUAAAUGUUUUGGGGGGUUUUCACGCAGAGAAAACACAGAAAAGACAUACAUUAAAAGUCGAAGAGAGAAAAUGAGGGCAAGAGAAGAAGAGAGCUUCCACGAGAAAUGAUGUUUGGAAUACCAGUGAGAUGUUAUCAAUCCUGGGUGAUUGCCCAUCUCUUUUCCCCUCACUGCUUCAAUCUCUAGGCUUUUCACAACAAGGCUUAAAUGUAAAGAGUACACACACACAUACACACACACACAAAACAUUCCCCACCACAACUACCAAACUAGAAGUACUGAACUAAACUAAACUAGUUCUUGUCCAUGUCUUUUUGCUUGAUACAGUCCCAUCACCUGAUGUUUGCGUGCAAAAGAUGAGAUGGUAUUAAAAGGAAGGUUUAAAAAGCCAUGUUAACCUUUAGCCCAAUCCACCUGCUGCUUAAUUCUGCCUCUUUUUCUCUACACUCCCUCUCCAUCACAACAAAGCUACAAAGCAAUUAGAGGAUUAAUCCGCAACAAUCCAGGGCUAAACAAAAGCUUGUGGGAGGGACAGUGAAAGCGUGAGGAAUGAAAUCAAAUGUUUGUGGGUGCGUGUUUUCUGCACGAGAUUUAAUCACAUCUAAUCUGGUAUAUCCGAGAUGAUUCCAUGGGGACAAGUCGUAGAUUAAAAGAGAAAAAUCAUGUUUUUUAUUUAUUUAUGUAUUUGCCAUUCCUGAUUCAGAUUCUGUAAAUCUUUACACAACACACUGUUUAAUCUGUGACCAGUGUCUAUAGUUUGCUGUCCUUGCAAUUACAUGAAGGAUAGCUCAGUAGAGGUAGUUGUCCCUAAAUAUAUUAUCAUUAAAAAAAUACUAGGUAUUUCACACACAAAGGGAGACCUGUAGUCGCUCCUCUACAUGUUAACUCCUACUUGCAAAGAAAUUAGCAGCAAUUAGCUCUGCAUUCUGAACAAGCGUGGAGGUGAAGCGGGUCAAAUGUGUGUCACACUGCAAGUAUGCAUGGAAUUAAUAAUGCCCCACAAAUGUAUCUCUUCAUUGUGUAUACAAAGCUGCAGCGGUAUCAGAUAGAACGUGAGAUUAAUCUGUAUUUUGCAUUUAAAGAACUAUGUACAUAUAUACAUAUGUGUGUGUGUGUAUGUGUGCGUAGAAUUGCGCAUCAUCUGUUCAAAUUACAGCUCCAUGAUGUUUACCAUAAAUAAUCCAUUAGGCUCUGCACCAUAGCAGCACAGUGUGUACUCCUGCUGUCUAAUAUUUCCCAUUUUAUUUUAUUCAACUUCUCCAGCAGUGUAUCUCUUGCCAUGGGUUGUGUUAAAUGUGAUUGAGGGUAAAACUGUUCCGAAGAAGCGGGUUUUAGGGGCUAAUGCGAUGCAUCCGACAGGAUUUACUACUUGUCAGUGGUGUCAAUGACUGCUCAUUUCAUUUGGGAGCAACUCCUUUGAAUUGUAGCACGGACAUAAAACACUGAAGUUUAUGAAUUAUGCAUCUCCUAACACUUUAAGUACAGAAUUAUGUCUUAUGGAUAAGCCAACGUGUUAAGUACUUGGCACUGAUACAUCAGCUUUAAUGUGAACAGGUUAGCUGCUGUUUACAUGUGUGCUGAAAAAUAACACAUUAGCAUGUCCAUUAAUUUGCUAUCUUGGGUUGUCCUUAAUGUUAAUUUGGUUUCUAUCAAUAGAACACAGGCAUACAUAUGUAACUACAUAUGUAUGCCCAAUGUUUUAUACAGUUGUUUUGCCAGUUAAUUUCUUAGCAAUUCUUAUUUGAAAAAAUAUCCUAACCAAUUCUCAAUGUUUUAGCACGGUCACAGAAAACUUAUUGUUAGACAAAACUAACUUCUGUAAUAUAUUCCCUUCUACAUGACUGAGGUCAAAGUGCCAUUUAGACACAGAGAUUACAUUUUGCGAAGAUCCCAACAGUAUCUUGUUAUGCGCUACAUUAAAGCUGAUUACGUGACAUUUUGUCUCGAGUGUAAAUACGUGCAAAGGUUAUGCUGCUCGCUCCUUUUUGUUUCGCUUCAUUCUUUAGGCUUCACACCUUUCACAGCAGCGGUGCCCACUACUGCUUCUUUCAAGGCAGAUUGUGUUACCUCUCGCUAAGAAACCUUCCUCUCGCUCACUCUCCCCCACUGGUUUCCUUGUGCUCUGCUAACCAACCAAAAGACUAGAUCCAAUGAGAGAGGGAGAGAAAACGAGAUAGAGAGAAAGAGAAAGGGAAAUAAACUAACAAUGAAGCCUUGCUUUUCUCUUCUUUUAUUUUAGAAGAACAAAAGAUAUGGCCAGAGCCGCUCCCACCUCUGUUUUUUAAUUAAGCAUGUCCUCUUGCUUUCACAAGCAUGCACAUGGACACACUCUCUCUCUCUCUCUCUCUCUCUACCUCUCUCUGUGUCUGUCUAAUACUCAAACGCGCACACACACAAACACACACAGGCAGACAUACAAAGGUAAUUAAAGUGGCAGAUCAGAUUCAGUGCGGAGCAAAUAAUAGACCAGGAAUGCUUGCUUUUGGACAUUGCUAGUUCUGAUGGCAGAGAGGAGCUGAGAGUCUCCUUGGCCUAUUGCCCCCCCAAUCCUCUCCUCUAUUCUCCAUAUCCAUCCAUCCAUUUUCCUUAGCUUCCAGAGUGACAGGGAAGAAGUCUUAAGUAAGCGAUCUGUGCAUUUAUUUCUUAUUUGUCACGUCCUUUCUUUCCCUGCACUCUUAACUCUGAGACAAGAGUAAAUAAGAACAUUUGCAAUUUUUCAGAUAUUGUGUCUAAGCUGAUUUACUUUUGCGUACAUUCAAACAUCUGUACUACGAAUACCUUUAUUUACAACUAAAUUUGCUGUCUGAAUUCUUCACUGUCACUAUCAAAGUAUUCAUUACCUCAUUAAACACUGGAUUCCGACAGCUGGUCCUGUGGGAUGUGGUCCUCAAAGAUCUAAAAUUCUCAUUUUCCAAAAACUUGUUGAAAACACAUGUAACAGGAGGUUAAAUUAAGUCCUGACUAAAUCUUCAAGGGAACCUGUAAAUCCAGGGAAAGUCAAACCACAAAGUCAGCGACUAAAUGUCCAUCCCUUAAGGUCUCCGAGAAGGUCAUCCCUCUCUCUGCAUGUGGCCCCUCAGUCUAACACCAAAUCUUCUAUCAAAAUGUCACCGAGCGUUAGCCAAAGACAAAGGCGAAGGGCUCUGUGAAAGCCUGUGCAUCCAUCUCCCAGUGUCAGUGCCAUGAAUAGGUCUACUCCGGUCUAAUUAGACCUGUUUAUUUGUUGCCAUGCAGAAACUGAGGAAUCGAAAAGGAAAAUGGAUGAAGAAGGGAGAAGAAACCGUCUUUCCCUUGCAGUGUGAGCCAAAAGAACACGGUGCUAAUCCAUGUUUGUACUGCAACAGCUAACGCUCUGUUUGCAGUCUUGGGAGAAAAGAGGAGAAAAUUGCUAAAAGACUAGUGAAGGAAUGAUAGCGUGCGUGACCGACAAUAUUUUUGUCUACUUCACAACUCAACAGCGCAACAAGUUUUAAUGCAGCCCUUGUUUGUAGCCCAGAGGUGUUAGGUUAUACGUCACACGCACUCCUGCCCUACAUGGUGUUUUCUGACCGUCUGUCCUCUUCCUUGUGUCUCCUUGCAGGCAAAGGCCUUCAUUACCACAAGACACCUUAUCAUUACUGCAAGGUGCAGCCCAGACACCUAGAGCCAGCACCACUCCAUUAAGCACAGGAAUCCUGUUCGACAAAUUACACACGCUGCAAAAAUGCCUUUUAACAAAUCAAACUCAGACUUAUGCCUACAUGAGCAAUUGCACUGGUCUGUGAGAAGAGGCUAAAGAAUGGAAAGAAAUGUUUAGAGGUAGAGGAGGAGGAGGCAGAGGUUGGGGGCAGGCAGGGUGGGUGGAAGUAAUGAAGAGAAGUGUACAGGAUGGAAGUGGCCUUUUUGUCUUCUCCCAGAGCGGGAAUGCAGCUUCUUUCCCUGCAGGUUGAUGACAACUUAAUUGCUCUCGUUUGUUGCUCAGGUAACAUUAAACCCAACUGCCCUGAAGUCUGUACCUGAUAUGCCAUUGUUUAAGGAAAUAAUAUCCCGGUAAAUUAGAAAAUAACAAGUAAUGUGUGUGUGAUGAGAAUAUCGUGGGGAACAAAAAUAGUCAGGUAUGCAAAAACAAACCUGUUGACCAGAUGAGUGGGCUGUGAAAAGUGUUUUAGGUUUUCACCCAAGCUCCAUAUAAGUAAAAAAAAAACAAAAACAAGACUAGAUCGAAAAUAAGGUGAAAACAUCUCUCAUGUCUCCCAGCUCCUCCUUGAACAACCCAGUUACAUUUAUUUACAUUAGGUAGGUUUUUAUUGUGACACUUAACAUGUGGGGCGUCCCUCAGUGCCAAUGUUUAUCUGCUGCCUGUAUGGCUAAGUUUAAUGAAUUAAAGAGAACUUUGACCGGAUUUACCAAAUUUUACAAAUGGACUCCGUGCUUACACAGUCCAGUCUAAAUAUAUGCUCAAGUCUCAUGUCUGUGAAGAGGCAAUAAUUUAAACUAAACUCAAACUGAAACAUAAAAAUAAACACUCAGACACCAGCGGGUCACAGUCACCACUUACUGCCCCUGCUAAAGAUUUUUCUGGCAUCAAAGGCAAAGCCAAUCUACAUAGCUAAUGCCGGCAGUUUUUUUUCCCCGUCUCUUUCCUCGAACUCAAAACAGCAAAGACCAAUGGGAGUGAAAAAAAGGGGAAUUUUUCUUUUGCUGGCAAUCUGGAAACACUCUCUAGUUAAUUAGGGUUGAUUGGAAAUGAACCGCACAAACAAAGGGCAGCCUAUGCCCCAACUAUUAUAACCACGCACGCGUACGUACACGUGUAUGGGAGGGGGGUACCAUAACCACCUUGGAAGCAAAGCUCCCCUCUUCUGGACAUGUCUCCUUUCUCUCUUUACCCCCUCCACCUCUACCCGCAAGAUUAAGGGAAUGCACCGCUAAAGAAUGUGUGACGACCUCCACUGCCACGGAGCAAAACUUCCAGCCCCUGCCGCCACAAAAGGCAAGAAGGUAAUUAAGUUUGAAAGAAUAGAAGCACUGCCACAAACAAUGCAGCAGUGUCCAUGGGGAAGGAUUGAAUGGGUGGGGGGGCAUAUGUGUGUAUAUAUGUGUUUGUUGGGUGGGGGUGAAACAGAAAAAGCUAUUAGCAUUCAGAAGCUGGGUGAGAGGAGAGAGUAAGGAGGGCAAAGGGGAACUGAGGAUGGCAUUCUGUCUUUUGGAGCUUCUGCCUGUCUUCCUCUAUCACAGCAGGGCUUUUUUAUCUCUUCUUUCACUCGUUUCUCUCUCACAUCUGGUUCAAACCUCUCUGCCCCCAGUUCUCAUAAUGACCCAUAUCGCAUGCAUAAUUUUUGUUCCAGCUGUUAGUAGUUCAGCAAAGGUAAGUCAGACGCUCUAUUCACAUCACACUGUUGUGGAAAAUGCAGGAUCACCAUUGUACAUAAUCAAUUUCUCUUCUCUGUGACCGCAGUCGCUCUCACCUACAUGCACGCAAAGUCAUCACAUCAGACACAAAACAACACUGGGAGCUUUCAUCUAUUGUUCUCUUGCAAAACAGUUUAUCCCAAUUAGCAAAAA